UGGGGAAUAUUGGACAAUGGGCGAAAGCCUGAUCCAGCCAUGCCGCGUGUGUGAAGAAGGUCUUCGGAUUGUAAAGCACUUUAAGCGAGGAGGAGGGUACUGGUAUUAAUACUACCAGCUACUGGACGUUACUCGCAGAAUAAGCACCGGCUAACUCUGUGCCAGCAGCCGCGGUAAUACAGAGGGUGCGAGCGUUAAUCGGAUUUACUGGGCGUAAAGCGUGCGUAGGCGGCUAAUUGAGUCGGAUGUGAAAUCCCCGAGCUUAACUUGGGAAUUGCAUUCGAUACGGGUUAGCUAGAGUGUGGGAGAGGAUGGUAGAAUUCCAGGUGUAGCGGUGAAAUGCGUAGAGAUCUGGAGGAAUACCGAUGGCGAAGGCAGCCAUCUGGCCUAACACUGACGCUGAGGUACGAAAGCAUGGGGUGCAAACAGG
rnacentral:rRNA from 1 species